UACGGGGGGGGGCAAGCGUUGUUCGGAAUUACUGGGCGUAAAGGGCUCGUAGGCGGCCAACUAAGUCAGACGUGAAAAUCCCUCGGCUUAACCGGGGAACUGCGUCUGAUACUGGAUGGCUUGAGUUUGGGAGAGGGAAGCGGAAUUUCCGGUGUAGCGGUGAAAAUGCGUAGAUAUCGGAAAGGAACACCAGUGGCGAAAAGCGGCUUCCUGGUCCCAGCACCGACGUUCAGGCACGAAAGCGUGGGGGAGCAAACAGG
rnacentral:rRNA from 1 species